GAAGCUGGCUAGACAGUCGCCGCGCACGCAAGUGCGGGGAGGAAAGUCCGGGCUCCACAGAGCAGAAUGCCGGUUAAUGGCCGGACACCGUGAGGUGAUGAACAGUGCCACAGAAAAUAAACUGCCUAAGUUCCUUCGGGAAACGGUGAGGGUGAAACGGCGGGGUAAGAGCCCACCGCGGACGUGGUAACACGGACGGCACGGUAAACUCCAUUCGGAGCAAGAUCAAAUAGGCUGACUUUGGCGUUGCUCGCGUCGUCAGCGGGUAGAUUGCUUGAGCGUAAGGUAACGAAACGCCUAGAGGAAUGACUGUCCACGACAGAACCCGGCUUAUCGGCCAGCUUCACCU
rnacentral:RNase_P_RNA from 1 species